rnacentral:lncRNA from 1 species
UGGACUUCUUUAGGGGGUGGGGGUGCAUGAGAAUUUCGCCUAUGCCUCCUAGAAGUAGAAGGCUGAUGAGUGUAAUAAUCACCCAUACUCAAAGGUAUCCCUCCCUCUUGAGAAUUUUCACUUUCACUUCCCCUAGGCUUAUUUUNCCUUAUCAAUCUCAACUCAUCUUGAAUGACAGCAUUUUGAAGCUCUCUAUUGAUUCUUUCUUGAUGCAUUUCCUUCCUCCUUUCAGUAAAUUGAAUGACUAAAGUUUGAAGAUUAAAACUUUUUGUUUGAUUUUCACUAUCACUAAUCCUAGGAGAAUGCCUUCUAGACAUUAUGGUGGACUUAAAUGUUAUUCUUGAAAUAAAGACUAGAGAUUUUCACUUGAAAGCAAUAUUCCAGGUAAGGGAGGUGAAUGACUAGGAUUGCUUAAGUACCAAGCCUUAUCCUUGCCAAAUAUGCUUAUAGCUACUUACUAGAGUCCUUAGAUCAAAAUCACUCUUAAAUCCACUUAAGUCUUAAAGACAACAAAGAAAACACAAAGCAAAGAAAGGACACAACCUAAACUCUAAAUUCGGACCCCUAAGAGAGCUUCCUAUUCACACAAGAUAUUUGCUAUCUAGUCGAGAAUUGGAAAAGCAAUUAAAGUGAGGUCUCCUAGGUGAGGCUUAGACUUUGGAUCUAAGACACACUCACCAACUACUCAAUUUUAGGUUGAGACUUCUUUGAGUCUAGUUACAAAUGAGGGAAGAGCACUUGUGAACUCUAGCACCUCACUUGCUUGGAUUUGGAACUUAAAACCAAAGAAACCAAUGGAAAUUACAAAAGCAAUUUGGUGAAUUGGAAAAGGAAAUUAAACUAGACUAAGGAAUUGAUGUGUGCAGCUUCGGUUGCUCUCAAAGAACUUGAAUCUGCUGGAUUCAACCACAAAACUCU